GGGGAAUAUUGGGCAAUGGGGGAAACCCUGACCCAGCAACGCCGCGUGAAGGACGAAGGCCUUCGGGUUGUAAAGCUCUUUCGGCCGGGAAGAAAUCGUGGUCUCUAACAUAGGCCAUGGAUGACGGUACCGGACUAAGAAGCACCGGCUAACUACGUGCCAGCAGCCGCGGUAAUACGUAGGGUGCGAGCGUUAAUCGGAAUUACUGGGCGUAAAGCGUGCGCAGGCGGUUUUGUAAGACAGAUGUGAGAUCCCCGGGCUUAACCUGGGAACUGCGUUUGUGACUGCAAGGCUAGAGUACGGCAGAGGGGGGUGGAAUUCCUGGUGUAGCAGUGAAAUGCGUAGAGAUCAGGAGGAACACCGAUGGCGAAGGCAGCCCCCUGGGCCUGUACUGACGCUCAUGCACGAAAGCGUGGGGAGCAAAC
rnacentral:rRNA from 1 species